rnacentral:lncRNA from 1 species
UCUAAACAAUAGUUAUGCCAUGCUCCAAGAACGCACACUAUGUUUUUCUAUGGUCCUUACUUUGCGAAAAAGAUCAAUUGACAACUUUACAAUGAUGUUCAUUUCACAAUUCCAAGUCCUUAUUGCAAGUGUAAGAAUCCCAAAUUCUUGUCACUGCUAGAAAGUGUUAGAUUCUAAACUAUCAUGCAAUGAUUCUUUUGUAAUGUCUAGGUGCCAAAAGUCACAGAGACUUGACCAAUGAUAUUACAAAAUAUUCCUUUGGAGAUUGUUACAAGACAAUUCCAUGGAAAUGAAGUUAAAAAUUCAAAGUACAUUUCUUUGAACAUCAUUCUUGCAUAAAAGUUUCUAACUUUCUCAUCUAUUCUUCAACUCCCAAUAUGGAAACAUUCCAUAUUUUCCAUACGAUAACUCAUUAUUAAUAGACUCUUGUCUAUUCAUAAUAAUGUAAAUAUGGUCAUUCCAUUAUUAUACUGAUGGGUUUUGGUCCUAAGAACAUCUUAUGUGCUCAUACAAACCCUAAUAUUUGGAUCUAGGUUUCUCUAUUGUACAUGCAAGUUAUCCAAGACUAUAAACCCUAAUUCUAGCAUACAAGUAAUCAUAUUAACGUAAGAAUAGGUUUAAGAUGUUACCUUGAUUGUUAUGUAGUAAUAACAAUCCCAAAUCUCCUUGUAUUGACUUUAGAAAGCCUAGAGUCACAAUUGUCACUCCUCUAAUGGUUCACAAACACCAUAAGAAAGAGGAUGAAGAGGAGAGAGGAUGGAGGCUGCCCAAAAACGUCUACAAACCCUAGAGGAGUCUUAGCCAUGUUUUUGGUCCUUUAGGGAUCUAUAUAUAGUGAGGCUAUUAGGGUUAUCUAACAAGGAAACCCUAAUUUGAAUGCUUAAGCCCUAAGCAACCCAUGGACUCCUUUAAUUAGGGCCUUGGUCGAUUUCCUUAUGGGUUUCCCCAUAGAAUUCGUCCACUCCUUAAUUUAAGACAAUCCAUAGCCCAAAUUGCAAUUAUCCUAUAAUUACAAUUUCAGUCCCUUAAGUUUAAUUAAUCUCUUUUAGUCACAAAACGAAUUACCAAUUAAUUCUUGACUAAUAUUAAUUAAACAAUAUGAUUUCUCCUUUAAUAUAUUAUUCUCAUAACAUAUUAAUAAAUCAUAUUUAAUCCUUUCUCUCCAUAAUUCAUCCUAUCAAGUUGCUUUGGUGAAGGCAACCCAAAAGGACCAUGCACCAUCGGGUCAAGUACAUACCAAAAUAGUUAUGGACUUAGACACUAAUCCAACAGUCUCCCACUUGGAUAAGUCUAAUAACUAUUAUGCGUAUGACUUCAGAUCCUGAUCUGCAAUCGUAGCUUUCCAAAGCCGCUGUCAACUCUGAUCCUAUCAGAUACGCGUGUCCUUAGAUAAGGGAUCAUAUAUUCCUCCAUUCUAGAUAUCAUAUGAGAUAUGAUUUCAAAUCAUUCUCUUUGUACUAUAUCUCGAUUCCCGAUUUAUGACGACUGACUAAUUGAACAAAUCAAAUUAGCCCUAGCCCGGCCGAGCAUUUACGUUUGUCAUCACUAAAUCAUCGAGGGGCCCAAAGAUAUCGCUUUUAUCCUACUUUGGAUAAAAGGAACGGAUAAACUUUGAUACAAUGCUUGCUUGCACUCACUCACCGAAUUACACACAAUAAUAUGUUUUAUAACACCAAGUUACUAGUGCGUUUACAUAUUAUCAAUGUGCAACCGAUUUGCAAGAUACAACUCACACAUCUCGGUUUCAAGAAUAUAAGAUGUUAUCGUCUCACCAAUCACUCGUGAUACAAUUCAUGGAGUGAUCCAAGUGAGCGUGGGUUUAAUCCAAUGCUCAAAUCAUAUUCAUAAGCACUCAUGAACGUUGCAGCAAACAUUUGCUUAUGUCUAAUACUCUUUAGACAAUCCACACACCAAUUCACGACAGUCUUCAUUCAUAUCUACUUCCAACAUAUGAACGACUGUGGCCCGUUCGAAUAAUUCGAUUAUUCUUAAUAAACUCAAUUAUUCUGGAAGUCAAAACAUGCAAAUGUGAAACACAAGAAUAAUACUAAUCCCAUAUGGCCUCAAACCUUUGAGUAUAAAUAAAACACCUUUUAUUUAUCACCAUAUCGAUUACUCAUUAUUUGUCGUUUCGGGUAAUCAACUUCUUACUUGAAUUAUUACACUUGUCCCAUGCUCCUAGCAUGCACACAAUGUUUACCUAUGGUUCUUACUUUGUGAAAUAGAUCAAAUUGAACACAUUUCCAAUCAUUCUCAUUUCACAACUCCAAAUCCUUUUUCAUAAGUGUAAGAAUAUCAAAUUCUUGCUACUUAUAGAAUAUGCUAGAUUCUAACAUUUUAUGCAAUGAUCCUUUCGUAAUGUCACUGCACCAAAGUCACAAAGACUAUUGCCAAUGAUAUUACAAAGUUCUCUAUUGGAGAUUGUUACAAGACAAUUCCUUAGAUAUGAUGUCUCUCACUCAAAGUACAUUCCUUUGAACAUCCUUUUGCAUAAAAGUUUCUAAUCUAGACAUAGAUUUUCAAUAUUCAAUUCCCAAUAUGGACACGUUUCCAUAUUUUCCAUAUGACAACUCAUUCUUAAUAGAAUCUUAUCUAUUCAUAAUAAUGUCGAUAUGGUCCAUCCAAUAUGGAAACAUUUCCAUAUUUUCCAAUACUAUACUUCCAACUACUCACAAGCGACCAAUCCUCGUCGAACUUUGGAUUGUCCUUUGAUAGUUGUUUAAUUAUUUUAGUCAAAACCGAUUCUAGUCCUUUUUCCCUCUAAAUGCGCUAGACAUUUGGAAAAUUUUAGAAUGGUCAAAUAUUAAAGCAUUUGCAAUCGAUCCUAUACCCGAAGCGUAUGGGACACGACGCAUAAUGUUUUAUUUGCUAUGUUCUCAAAAUUCGAAUUGUGAAGAGGGAUGCCGUAAUCAUAAUCGAAAUUUUAAGAACACACUAUGUACCUUUGACUAAAUUUUUUAACAUUUCUCAACCUAAUCCUUUAGAUUUGAAAUGAAGCAUAAUAUUCUCUCCCUUAAUUAUAGCAAAACAACUUUUCAACUCUUACAACUUUGCAAAGUAUGACUCUUGUUUUCUAUAAUUAAUAUUGCUAACCUUGCAAUACUUUCCUUAAUAAUCAUACAAUCAUAACAUUUAUGCUCCCACUAUCAUGAUGAUUAUUAUAAAACAUAACACUUAUGCUCCCACUAGCUUCGACAUGUAUUCAUAAACAUCUUAACUUUCAGAAAACAAUACUUAUUGAAUUUCUUAAGUUCAUGUUUCUAAUACUUAGUGCUUUGAUAAUCCUUUAUCAAUGCUUCUUGAACUUAUACACCUUUGCCUUCGAUAGUUCAUAUGUGUGUCUAAACAAUUAAGACUAAUUGCCAAACCUCACAAUUCAAAUUAUGGAAAGGGAUGCCGUAACCAUAAUUGAAUUUGAGAAUGCAAUUUUACAAUCACUAUCUUCUUAAAAUCUCUCUUAGUGAAAGCAUUUCCUCACAAUCAUUUUCAUGAAGGAGGAAAUCUUAUGACACUUAGAUUUAAACGGUGUAUGUGUUCCUAUCCAUGUGAAUUUGUUAAAACCAAAGUUUACGACAAAUUCAAACUCAUAUGGACCGAACUUUCUUAAUCUUGAUUUCUUGCCUUAUGGUAGCACAGCUGCCCACCAUGUCUUCCAAGUAGUUAAGCAGCUCACCUUUUCCUAUCAAUGUACCUUUCAUUGAUUAAGGUGCUUUGCCUUUUAUGCGUUCAAAAUGAGAACUCAUAGAACUCACAUGCAUAAUUAACUCGAUUGGAUUGGCACAGAAUCAAAAUAAUGUCAACACGAUAGGUUGUAAACCUCAACUCGUGUGCUAGUGAUGAUCGAUAAGGUUUAUUUGAUUUGUUCUUGAAACCUUUCAAGACCAUUAAGACUCCCACUGACUCCUUGACAUAUAAGAUUCUCUUGUCAAUAACCAUUUCUUGACAAACAAAUAUUCAAGAGUUAGUGUAGCUUUUAUCAAAACACUUCAUAAAUUGGUCCUAGUUGGUCUUUGUCUUAUCCAAGACAUCACAACUUUCCACAUUUAAUGAAUGUUAUAAACCUUCUUAAUACUUUUCACUCAAUGUCACAAUCUUAACUUUAAGACUUGUUUUGGAACGAAGUAUGAUUGACUUCUUGAUUUAACCAUUUCUUCAAUUCUUGAUUCCUCUUCUUAGACAUACAAUUGUACUAAGACUCACUUAGAGGAUCAAUUGAGAUAUGGUUCUUAAUCAUUAAGACCUAUCAUAAAGCAUAAAAGGUACUCUCCCUUCUUCUUAGAAUGGAGAAACUUUUAUCUUUCUGCCUACUUGAUUCUUCUUAUUCGUUCUGCUAUUGAUUUAAACUUUUUCAAUCAAUUCAGAAUUACACUUAAUCUUAUAAGUAUAAUCAUAUUUACUAAACCUUUAGUAAAUCAUGACGAAUAUCUUUGUUACUCUUAUGGUGGACUUGAUCAACACGCAACUUUGUGUACUCGAUCUCCUAGUCCUUCACUUGACACUUUGUCAAUGAAUUAGUCUAAUUUCCAAAUAUGAAAUUUCUCAUUCAUCGUGCAACCAAGUUGCAUGAUUCCAAGUUUCUGUCCAAUUGAAACUUGGGCGAUGAGAAACUCUCCCUAUUUGGUAAAUUCUCGACUUUCCAUAAAUAACAUAAUAAGAACCAAAUCCAUUAUUGCUAAUAAUAGAAACAUUCAAACAUCAAUUUUUCAUAUACGCCAUUGCAAGGAUAAAUAAAUAAUAUAAAAUCAAAAUUUAUUUUAUUGCGGAAAAAUUUUGUCCUUACAAUGCAAUUCAUUGAAAAACUAUGCUAAUACAUCUUUCUUAGCAAUCUAAUUCUAACUCUAAGUAGUAGCUCAAGAAUCUAAUCUUCGAGAAAUGCGAUCGAAAUCCAUUCCUUCACGGUUAGAUUCUGCUCACUUCUUCCCUUAAGCUUCCUUUCUUUUCUUCGAUCCUACAAAACAUCAAUUGUAAUCUUAUCACAUUAUGUAUUAAGAAUCUAGAAUAGAAGCUUAAAAGAGUUAGUUAAUGGAUUUUACCUAUAUUAGAGCCAUACGUUUCGACUCUCCCAUCUCUUAGAUCUCUUAGGUAAAUGGGGCAGCUUCGUCUCCAAUGCCCUUUCUCUUGGCAAUAAAAGCAAAUUGACUCUUUUGGAACAUGACAUGGAACUACUUCAGACAUUGCCUUUCUCUUAUGAUCAAACUUUUCGAUCAUAGCAUGUCUUUCGUUGCCAUUGUCUAUAUCCAUAGAGGUCUUGAAGGCAGAUUCACCAAUCAACUUUGCUUUUCUAUUGCGCCAAACCAUUGCUGAUUCAGCAGCAAUAAGCAUAUAGGUGAGAUCUAUAAGGGUCACGUCGCGGUUCAUCAUAUAGUACUCUCUUACGAACUCACUAUAUGAGUUAGGAAGUGACUGAAGAACCCAAUCAACAGCCAUUUCCUCACAGACAACGGAUCCCAACAUUCUUAACCUAUCAAUGUGUGACUUCAUCCCUAGGACGUGUGCACACACCGACUUUCCUUCUUUAUGUUUACUUGCCAAAAGGGCUUGAGUGAUCUUGAACUUUUCAAGCCUUUGAACUUGUGGGUUAGGGAGAAUAAUUGGAGGAGGUGGAGGAAGUGAAGCAUGAUUUCUUGUUCCUCGAUCGAAUCGUGGAAUAUCAUCUUCAUGUGGAAAGCUUGUUCCACGGGAUUUGGGAAGACCAUAGUUGUCGAACUUGACAUCUUCAAAACGGGAGAAAAAGAAUUCAAGUUAGUUGAAUUAUUAAGUCCUUAGUAAAUCACCCAAAUGAGAUACUAAGGCUAGAACCCAACACAAUAUUCUACAACUUGGGAGAGGGAUGCCGUAACCCAAAUUGCAGAACAUUUGAAGGUAAGUGAAUGACGAUUCACUAAUUUCCACCAUGAAAAACGAAAAAAGAAAUUUAAGUUUUAAAUCUAUGAAAACUCCUAGAUCCUUUGAGAUUCAUUGAACUUUCAAUGGCAUGUUUAAAUCUCGAUAUGCCCCUCUUGUUUGUGACUGGGAUGCCGAGGAUCACAAAGCGGGUGUGAAUAACCAUGCAAACUUACAUGGUGCCCUCACAUGUUACAGUCACCUAUUCGAUGUGCCGGUAAACCACACACGCUCCACCGAACUAUGACAAACAUUGAGUCACCCUUUGCUACCUUUGCUUAGAACCAUUUAGUGUGCCGGUAAACCACACACGCUCCACUAACGUCUUCGCAAGGGCACAAAGUGUAAUUUCAUGGAAUUGCAUCAAUUCACUUUUGCCUAAGUAACUAAGAUUGGGAAUUUUAUGAAAACAUUUAGUUACUUUUAUACUUCAUUAUACUUAUAAUGGAAGGUUUCGUCCUAUCCUACCCGUUCGGCUAACGACCCUCCACUAGUCAAGAGUGCGGUGGGUAAGAGUGGAUACCCAUUCAAUCGCCAUUUUAUAGGCAAUUUCCUUAAACACCCCUUAUAGACCAGCUUCGUGAAUGAGGCCUACUAACGGUAAGACUGACUUUUACUCAUACAUAUAUAUAAUGUUAGACUUUUAAUGUUAUAUAUAGUAUAGGGUGUAUUUUACACUUUUAAAAUACUAGGUGGUCAAAUUUAACAAUUAUACUUUUAAUUCAAUUAAAUUGUAAACCUAAACUUUUAUGGAUUUAUUAAACCUCUUUUAAUUAUACACCUUAAUUAAUUAAUAAAACCAUAAGGGUGUGAUUUGAACUUUUUCAAAACUAUACUAGAGUUUUAGAAUUUAACAUUCCUAAUUAAACUUUUAAUCAACUUUUAAAUUCCAAAACUUGAGGGCAAGUUUUGAAACAUUUCAACACAUUAGGGUUUAGAAUUUAAAUAUACAUCAAAAUUAAACCAUUUAAUCAAAAUUUAAAUUCCAAAACUUGAGGGCAAGUUUUGAAACCUUUUUCAAAACAUUAGGGUUUCAACUAUUUAAAUUUCAAAACAACAAAACUUUUGGGUUCAAAUUUAAACUAUAAAACCUAAAGGGGAAAAUAUGAAACUUUUCAUAACAACAAGGAUCAAAUAACAAAUAAUCUAAAUUAACAUUUAAUCACAUAAUUAUCCAUAUUUGAUUUAUUUAAUGAUUUCUUGCAAAGCAAUUUACCAAUUUAAUCAAAUUAAUUAAUCAGUUAUCACAUAAGGAAGCAAUUAUCUUAUUAAUUGAUAAAUAUCAUCAAUUAGAUCAAGAAUAUAGUCAAAUAUAUCAUAAAAUCGGAUUUAUAUUGAUCUAAUAUCAUAAGGCAACUAUCCUUAAGCAAAAACAACAAGAAUUCCUGAAGUAUGCUCCAUCUGACGAGUUGACUCGUCGAGUCAAGCAUGGACUCGUCGAGUCAACAUGGACUCGGCGAGUCCAGCCUCCAGAAACCAAAAAAUCGAAUUUUUCAAACAUAUAAUGCAUCAAUACAAUAAAAACCAGUCUAGGCUCUGAUACCAGUGAUGGGUUUUGGUCCUAAGAACAUCCUAUGUGCUCAUACAAACCCUAAUGCUUGGAUCUAGGUUUCUCUAUUGUACAUGCA